CUUCUCAAAAGGGUAGAAAAUUGGAUCAUUUUGAUUCGGAGAUGAUAGUCUCUAACAGUGAGCCGGUUGCUUGGGGAAGGCGAUGACUACGAAAAUGGAGACUGUUCAAUUGCGGGAACUGUGACAAACCUAACUCAAUGCAGUUGGAAAAGGAAUUUCUUCUGAACUCAUGGCUGACUGAAGUUAGUGUAAUGGACAAGAAUUAUAUGUGCAGUAUCGAUUGCCCAACAAAAUACCAAGACUAUAAUUAGAUAAAGGAGGGGUCAACUUAUUUUAUCCAUAUCAAUAUUAUUUUAGCAUAUCUUCUGUAAUCAUGUCAUGGAGCAUAAUAUAAGCUUAUUCUUGAGUUUUCUUUGUCAA